UUGGGAGCCGCUACAGAGAAGCAACGGUCCCCUCUGAGCUUUGACCUGGUUUUAGGCACAUUCAGGAGCCGUUGGUCCGCUGACCUGAGAGGGCGGUUCGGCGUGUAAUGCUGUAGCAGCUCAGCAAGGUAUGGUGGGGUCAUGCCAUUUAGGGAUUUAAAAGUAAAUAAAAUAAUUU